rnacentral:lncRNA from 1 species
ACCAUCAUUUCAGUGCAGUUAGGGUGAUAUAUUGUCUAUCUGCUCUAAGACUCUGAAAGUAUUCUUAAAAAGUCCCUAAAUUUUUGGUAGAGGAACUUAGCAAGCUGAGCAAGGUUGACUUGAUAGGAAGUAUUUUUGGCUGAGAUCUGCUCUAUGUCUGCACCUGCUGUGAUAAAUACAGUUUAUACAAAUUAGCUAGGUCACCAGUUCGACCCUUUUAAAGAAGGAGUUCAGCUCCAGUGUGUGCAAUAAAGUAGGAAAUUUAUAAUAGGCUGUGGUUAUAUAUAACGCUGCACUCUUUUUCGUAAGGUCAGAAGGGACCAUUGCAACGUUUCAUGCCAGGAGAUCAUAAAAAUAUUUUAGGAGAGAGAAUACCCUACAUUCCUGAGAACCUCAUGCAGGUAAAAGGAAAAUAGGACAUUACAGCAGAAUAAAAAUAAACCUGAAAAGCUCAGAACGCACAGAACUUUUUUGUGGUGAAUGCUAAUAUGGAAUCCCCUUACCACAUUCUUCUAGCAAUUGCUUAAUAUCUUGCAGUACAUUUUUCCCAUAAAGAGAGGGAAGCACUGUAUCACUGUCUUCUAAACCCCCAGAAGCCCAAACAAUCCAUUCAAAAUGCAGAAGUUACCUCAGUACCCAAUAAAAAUGGGUCAUGACCUAAUGAGGAAGCAGAAAUGCAUUGCACAGAGUUGCUUUCUAAUUCACUGAGCCCUUCCCCAGGAAAUCAAUCUGUGUGAAAGGCAGCUCUGUCCGUCCUGCCCCCCUUCCAUACAAAGGCUCACCUUAACAGAAUGCACUGAAAGACGAACAAAGUGCAUGAGGUAACCCCAUUUCCACUACCCCUGCUAAGCAACACUUUCUUACCACUCUACCAACACGGGCCCUGUCUCAAACACCAGCAAGAGAUUGAAAAUGACAACAGAAGCAACAUUAUAAAAAGAAUCUUGCAAAUGUCCAGUGCAUGUGAGAGGACCAAUGCAGCCUUCUUGUGAGAUGCUUCAGAGGCCUGCAAGGUAGGGCCUGGUUCAAAU